GAUAUUCGCGUCACGAUUUCGUUAGAGGGUACGCCGUCAUCUAUAGAGGCGGUCCUCUUAUGUCUUUCUAAACCAAAUGGGGGAAGAGGAAAACAAAUACCCCAGAUGGGGAUAGGGGAACAAAUACCCCUCAGAGAUAAAAAAAUCUAACGAGACACCUAAUGCAUUAUGCAUGUCAUCAAAGAUACAUACUUCAGACCAUUCAUGCUUCAUUCCACAUUUUUUUUCUUUUUU
rnacentral:lncRNA from 1 species